UACGAAGGGAGCUAGCGUUGUUCGGAAUCACUGGGCGUAAAGAGCGCGUAGGCGGCUAUGCAAGUCAGAGGUGAAAUCCCAGGGCUCAACCCUGGAACUGCCUUUGAAACUACAUAGCUAGAGUUCGUGAGAGGGUGGUGGAAUUCCUGGUGUAGCGGUGAAAUGCGUAGAUAUUAGGAGGAACACCGGUGCGAAGGCGG
rnacentral:rRNA from 1 species